rnacentral:rRNA from 1 species
ACUACUAAGCUAGAGUGCGAGAGAGGAGGAGUAGAAUUUCUGGUGUAGCGGUGAAAUGCGUAGAUAUCAGAAGGAAUACCAAUGGCGAAGGCAGCUCUCUGGCUCGUCACUGACGCUGAGGUGCGAAAGCGUGGGUAGCAAACAGGAUUAGAUACCCUGGUAGUCCACGCCGUAAACGAUGAGAACUAGCCGUUGGGCAGAUUUAACUGUUCAGUGGCACAGCUAACGCAUUAAGUUCUCCGCCUGGGGAGUACGGCCGCAAGGCUAAAACUCAAAUGAAUUGACGGGGGCCCGCACAAGUGGUGGAGCAUGUGGUUUAAUUCGAUGCAACGCGAAGAACCUUACCAACCCUUGAAAUCUAGCGAAGUUCACAGAGAUGAGAAUGUGCCUUCGGGAACGCUAUGACAGGUGUUGCAUGGCUGUCGUCAGCUCGUGUCGUGAGAUGUAUGGUUAAGUCCAGUAACGAGCGCAACCCCUAUCCUUAUUUGCCAGCGCGUUAAGGCGGGAACUAUAGGGAGACUGCCGGGUGAAACCCGGAGGAAGGCGGGGACGAGGUCAAGUCAUCAUGGCCCUUAUGGGUUGGGCUACACACGUGCUACAAUGGGAAGUACAGAGGGAUGCUAAAGCGCGAGCUGGAGCCAAACCCUUAAAACUUUUCUUAGUCCGGAUUGGAGUCUGCAACUCGACUCCAUGAAGUCGGAAUCACUAGUAAUCGCGAAUCAGAAUGUCGCGGUGAAUACGUUCUCGGGCCUUGUACACACCGCCCGUCACAUCAUGGAAGUGGGUUGCACCAGAAGUGGUUAGUCUAACCUUCGGGAAGACGAUCACCACGGUGUGAUUCAUGACUGGGAUGAAGUCGUAACAAGGUAACCGUA